rnacentral:rRNA from 1 species
GACGAACCGUGCGACCGUUGUUCGGAAUCACUGGGCUUAAAGGGCGCGUAGGCGGAUGACCAAGUCAGGGGUGAAAGCCCGCAGCUCAACUGCGGAAGUGCCUUUGAUACUGGUUGUCUCGAGGGAGAUAGGGGCAUGUGGAACUUCCGGUGGAGCGGUGAAAUGCGUAGAUAUCGGAAGGAACGCCGGUGGCGAAAGCGGCGUGCUGGACCUCUUCUGACGCUGAGGCGCGAAAGCCAGGGGAGCAAACGGG